rnacentral:rRNA from 1 species
CGGGGUGAGUAACGCGUGAGGAACCUGCCUCAGAGUGGGGGAUAACACACCGAAAGGUGUGCUAAUACCGCAUAACAUAUGGGAGGGGCAUCCCUUUCAUAUCAAAGAUUUAUUGCUCUGAGAUGGCCUCGCGUCCAAUUAGCUAGUUGGCGGGGUAACGGCCCACCAAGGCGACGAUUGGUAGCCGGACUGAGAGGUUGAACGGCCACAUUGGGACUGAGACACGGCCCAGACUCCUACGGAAGGCAGCAG